rnacentral:rRNA from 1 species
CUCAAUAAGCGGAGGAAAAGAAACCAACAGGGAUUGCCCUAGUAACGGCGAGUGAAGCGGCAACAGCUCAAAUUUGAAAUCUGGCGCAAGCCCGAGUUGUAAUUUGUAGAGGAUGCUUCUGGGCAGCGGCCGGUCUAAGUUCCUUGGAACAGGACGUCACAGAGGGUGAGAAUCCCGUAUGUGACCGGCGCGCACCCUCCACGUAGCUCCUUCGACGAGUCGAGUUGUUUGGGAAUGCAGCUCUAAAUGGGAGGUAAAUUUCUUCUAAAGCUAAAUACCGGCCAGAGACCGAUAGCGCACAAGUAGAGUGAUCGAAAGAUGAAAAGCACUUUGGAAAGAGAGUUAAAAAGCACGUGAAAUUGUUGAAAGGGAAGCGCUUGCAACCAGACUCCGUGGCGGUGUUCCGCCGGUCUUCUGACCGGUCCACUCGCCGCCGCGGGGCCAACAUCGUCUGGGGCCGCCGGACAAGACUGGAGGAAUGUGGCUCCCUCGGGAGUGUUAUAGCCUUCAGUGAUGCGGCGCGUCCCGGGCGAGGUCCGCGCUUCGGCAAGGAUGUUGGCGUAAUGGUUGCCAGCGGCCCGUCUUGAAACACGGACCAAGGAGUCUAACAUCUAUGCGAGUGUUCGGGUGUCAAACCCCUACGCGUAAUGAAAGUGAACGGAGGUGGGAGCUUCGGCGCACCAUCGACCGAUCCUGAUGUCCUCGGAUGGAUUUGAGUAAGAGCAUAGCUGUUGGGACCCGAAAGAUGGUGAACUAUGCCUGAAUAGGGUGAAGCCAGAGGAAACUCUGGUGGAGGCUCGCAGCGGUUCUGACGUGCAAAUCGAUCGUCAAAUUUGGGUAUAGGGGCGAAAGACUAAUCGAACCAUCUAGUAGCUGGUUCUGC